rnacentral:rRNA from 1 species
GUGGGGAAUAUUGCACAAUGGGCGCAAGCCUGAUGCAGCCAUGCCGCGUGUAUGAAGAAGGCCUUCGGGUUGUAAAGUACUUUCAGCGGGGAGGAAGGCGAUAAGGUUAAUAACCUUGUCGAUUGACGUUACCCGCAGAAGAAGCACCGGCUAACUCCGUGCCAGCAGCCGCGGUAAUACGGAGGGUGCAAGCGUUAAUCGGAAUUACUGGGCGUAAAGCGCACGCAGGCGGUCUGUCAAGUCGGAUGUGAAAUCCCCGGGCUCAACCUGGGAACUGCAUUCGAAACUGGCAGGCUAGAGUCUUGUAGAGGGGGGUAGAAUUCCAGGUGUAGCGGUGAAAUGCGUAGAGAUCUGGAGGAAUACCGGUGGCGAAGGCGGCCCCCUGGACAAAGACUGACGCUCAGGUGCGAAAGCGUGGGGAGCAAACAGGAUUAGAAACCCUUGUAGUCC